rnacentral:sRNA from 1 species
AGCUUAUAGUAGGUUAUCAGAAAUUCCUAACAUCAGUGUCUCUAAAGUUGGUAUAUAACCCCCCACUGCUAAAUUUGACUGGCUUAAA